rnacentral:lncRNA from 7 species
GACAAUCAGGCAUUAGAACAGGUUGUCCAAGGAGUGCCAUCACUAUUUUUGGAUGUUUACAAGCCUGCUUUGGUUCAAAUCUCAUCUGAUCCCACCGUUACCCCUGCUUGUGGCUGGAGUUAACAGUGUGACUAAGUCCUCCCUGUCUCAGGGCCACAGGAAUUCCUGGCACAGGGACUGGGCAGCGGGUGUCUGCUGCACAAGGGUCAUUCUGGCCAGGGGUAAAGGAAAUUAAACUAACAAAAAAUGAAUCAAAUGUCUCCUGAGCAAAGAACUUAGUCGCUACUUACCAUCUGGUGAACCAAAACAGUGAGGGAAACCUCCCCCUGAGAUCAGCUUUUGCAGCCAUUACCACUCUACCUGAGUUUCUUGGCACUGUAAAUCCCCAACAAGUGGAAAGGAGAAUUCCCCCAGCAAGUGCCAUCGCCGAUGUGCCGUGCUGUAUCCUGCCUCGCACCCCUGAGCACAAAGGAAGAAGGAUGUGCCUGAACAUUGUCCAGUAUGCAAAGGAUGUGAGGCAAGGCAGGCUGCGGGCUGCUGCUGGCCUUGCUCUGCACUCUGUGCCUUCUGCCAGCCUUGCUGCCUCCCUUGGCUCCUAACCUGUCUCCCCCCACUGAACUGCCUGCUGCUGCUGCUCCUGGGAUGUAGAGGAGGGUUUCUCCAUUGGUCUUCAGCUGUGUCCAGUGGUUGCAGGGAGGGCACCCAGCUGUGCAACACUUCUCCACAUCCCCAUGUGAUUCCACUCUUCAUGAGCUGCCAUCUCUCAGCAGUUGGAGGAGUCCAUCUCAAGAUUCAAGGUGGUGCUCUCCAGGUGGGACACUGGUCUUGGACCAGGAGAAAAUCUGCAGCAUUUCCCUGGGAGCUGCUGUAAGGAGAGGUUAGCUGCAGGAAUUCAUCCUGGAGAGAAGCUCUGCGCCAUCUGGGGCCCCCUGCAAUGGCAGCGGGAAGGGAGGAAAGGCAGAGAAUGAGAGCUCUCCGGAACAGCUCAUGUGAGUAGAGACUUAUGAAUGACCUUGGCCUUGGAAAGCCAUGGGUUUUUGUUUUGUUGGUUCUGUUUUUUGAGAGUUUUUUGUUGUCGUUGUCGUUGUCGUUGUUGUUUUUAUUUAUUUUUUAAUGUAUAUCAGAAGCAGUUAUUUCAACAUGUAAAAUGAAGCUGCAGCUUGGC